UUAAUACAAGAUGGCAUCAUGAGUUCACAUGUUCACAUGAUUAAAGGUAUUCCGGUAGACGAUGGGGAUGCGUUCCAUUAGAUAGUAGGCGGGGUAACGGCCCACCUAGUCUUCGAUGGAUAGGGGUUCUGAGAGGAAGGUCCCCCACAUUGGAACUGAGACACGGUCCAAACUCUACGGGAGGCAGCAGUGAGGAAUAUUGGUCAAUGGGCGCAGGCCUGAACCAGCCAAGUAGCGUGAAGGAUGACCGCCCUAUGGGUUGUAAACUUCUUUUAUAAAGGAAUAAAGUCGGGUAUGUAUACCCGUUUGCAUGUACUUUAUGAAUAAGGAUCGGCUAACUCCGUGCCAGCAGCCGCGGUAAUACGGAGGAUCCGAGCGUUAUCCGGAUUUAUUGGGUUUAAAGGGAGCGUAGAUGGAUGUUUAAGUCAGUUGUGAAAGUUUGCGGCUCAACCGUAAAAUUGCAGUUGAUACUGGAUAUCUUGAGUGCAGUUGAGGCAGGCGGAAUUCGUGGUGUAGCGGUGAAAUGCUUAGAUAUCACGAAGAACUCCGAUUGCGAAGGCAGCCUGCUAAGCUGCAACUGACAUUGAGGCUCGAAAGUGUGGGUAUCAAACAGGAUUAGAUACC
rnacentral:rRNA from 1 species